rnacentral:lncRNA from 1 species
AUGGACCUGAUGAUUUCCAAGGGCUUUUUCAAGCUGAGUGAUUCCAUGAUUCCGACCUGCUCUGAGCUGAUUAAGGCAUUUCACUGCUGGGUCUCCAUUAGAAGCAGCUGUCAGCCCUUCCCUAAUUUGCAGCCACCUGGAGCAGGGCUUAAGGAGCUGGAGAAUCCUUGGACUGAACUCCCUGGAGAGGGCACAGACCGUUUGUGCCUCACCUCAGGAGUGGGUUUGGAUCCCAGCAGGGAUUUCUGCUCCCCCAGUCCCUUGGCACCACUUUGGGUUGGACAGUCUCUGCACAGCCCAAAUCCCCACGGGAGCCUCCAGAGCUCCAGGAAGGUGCUGGGUGCCAGUGGGAGGGAAAGGAGCUCAUUAGGGAUUCUCCUGUGGGAUGCAAAUGAGCCCCAUAAUGAGGGAGGCAUUGUCUGCUCCCCUGUGACCGGGCAUGGCCCAGCUGCUCUCUCUUAUCUGCUCAUCUCGGAGCUCUCCAGAGAUAAGAGGAGCUCCUCAGAGAUAAGAGGCAGCUGCACAUCCCCGACCUUUGGCUGCCUCCCUGUUCUUGUUCAGGACCAUCUGGGGCACAAUUUUGACCUUUUGGUCAAAGCAGAGUUUGGCAGAAAUGCUUCAGGUGAGGGGGGAAAGGAUGAAAUCCCACAGUCAUGGAAUAGAAUAUUCCUGCUUUAUGAAGGAAUUCCUCCCUGUGAGGGUGGGGAGGCUCUGGAAUGGAUUUCCCUGUGGCUGCCCCUGGAUCCCUGGAAGUGCCCAAGGUUGGACAGGGCUUUGUGUGGAAGGUGUCCCUGCCCAUGGCAAGGGUGGCACUGGGUGAUUCCAAAGGUCCUUCCUAACCCAUUGUGUGAGGAUGAAUAUCCUGAGUUGGAAGACACCCACAGGGAUCAUCAAAUCCAACUCCUGGCCCUGUCCAGAACACCCCAAAAUUCCCACCAUGUAGCUGGGAGCACUGUUUUUUGUACUGAGCAGCCUGGUCCAGAAAUCACUUUGGGGACAAAGUUCUGGCUUGAGCUAAUUUUGUGGAGAAUAAACAUUCCCUGUUUUCAUGGCUGUCCCUCCAGCAAUGCCAUUCCCUGA